rnacentral:rRNA from 1 species
UACGUAGGGGGCAAGCGUUGUCCGGAUUUACUGGGCGUAAAGAGCGCGUAGGCGGAAACGCCAGUCCGGCUUGAAAGCCCCCGGCUCAACCGGGGAGAGUGGCUGGAAACUGCGUUUCUUGAGGGCGAGAGAGGAGGGUGGAAUUCCUGGUGUAGCGGUGAAAUGCGUAGAUAUCAGGAGGAACACCGGUGGUGUAGACGGCUUUCUGGACCGUAACUGACGCUGAGACACGAAAGCGUGGGUAGCAAACAGG